rnacentral:tRNA from 1 species
GAGGGUAUAGCUCAGUGGUAGAGCGUGUGCUUAACAUGCAUGAGGUCCUGGGUUUAAUCCCCAGUACCUCUA